UACGAAGGGGGCUAGCGUUGUUCGGAAUUACUGGGCGUAAAGCGCACGUAGGCGGACUAUUAAGUCAGGGGUGAAAUCCCGGGGCUCAACCCCGGAACUGCCUUUGAUACUGGUAGUCUAGAGUCCGGAAGAGGUGAGUGGAAUUCCGAGUGUAGAGGUGAAAUUCGUAGAUAUUCGGAGGAACACCAGUGGCGAAGGCGGCUCACUGGUCCGGUACUGACGCUGAGGUGCGAAAGCGAGGGGAGCAAACGGG
rnacentral:rRNA from 1 species